rnacentral:rRNA from 1 species
AGAGUUUGAUCUUGGCUCAGGAUGAACGCUAGCGGCAGGCCUAAUACAUGCAAGUCGAGGGGCAGCACAGGUAGCAAUACUGGGUGGCGACCGGCAAACGGGUGCGGAACACGUACGUAACCUUCCUUUAAGUGGGAGAUAGCCCGAAGAAAUUCGGAUUAAUACCCCAUAAGAUCAUAGAGUGGCAUCACUUAGUGAUUAAAGAAUUUCGCUUAAAGAUGGGCGUGCGGCUGAUUAGGUAGUUGGUGAGGUAACGGCUCACCAAGCCAACGAUCAGUAACUGGCGUGAGAGCGCGACCAGUCACACGGGCACUGAGACACGGGCCCGACUCCUACGGGAGGCAGCAGUAAGGAAUACUGGUCAAUGGACGCAAGUCUGAACCAGCCAUGCCGCGUGAAGGAUGAAGGUCCUCUGGAUUGUAAACUUCUUUUAUAUGGGAAGAAACCACUUUUAUCUAAAGGUGUUGACGGUACCAUAGGAAUAAGCACCGGCUAACUCCGUGCCAGCAGCCGCGGUAAUACGGAGGGUGCAAGCGUUAUCCGGAUUCACUGGGUUUAAAGGGUGCGUAGGCGGAUUAGUAAGUCCGUGGUGAGAUCUCCGAGCUUAACUCGGAAACUGCCGUGGAUACUAUUAAUCUUGAAUGCUGUGGAGGUUAGCGGAAUAUGUCAUGUAGCGGUGAAAUGCAUAGAUAUGACAUAGAACACCAAUUGCGAAGGCAGCUGGCUACACAGAGAUUGACGCUGAGGCACGAAAGCGUGGGGAUCAAACAGGAUUAGAUACCCUGGUAGUCCACGCCCUAAACGAUGAUUACUCGACAUUUGCGAUAUACAGUAAGUGUCUGAGCGAAAGCAUUAAGUAAUCCACCUGGGAAGUACGACCGCAAGGUUGAAACUAAAACGAAUUGACGGA